CAUGUUUUUAGGGGUGGGGGAAACCAGAGUACCCAGAGAAAACCCACGCAAGCACGAAGAGAAUCUGCAAACUCCGCAUAGGAAGACCCCAGGUCCGAACCGUGGAUUGAACCCAGGACCUCCUUGCUGUGAGGCGUCGGUACUAACCACUGAGCCAUCGUGCUGCCAAGAUUGAUGCUACGUGAAUCGUUUGCAACAAUUGUAACAUAUUUUUUACGCGAGUUACCAAGAACCAGCAAACUAACAUUAGCUACCUUUAGCUUCCCYUUUUCUGUCACUGAUGAAUGGUCCCGUACAAUCUUCUGCACUUUUCCUUUAAGUUUGAUGUGGUAAAGUUUGGUGUCGCAAAUAAAAACGAAAGCAGGUUUUAAAUUUUUGGAUUCACAUACAGAUUAGACUGGAACUAUUUGCCCAUCACACUGAAGAGUUGUUAGGCUCUUUGUUUGCCUGGCUCAAGAUAGAGAUCGUUUGGUCACAUGCAUAAGGUGUGAAUUUAAAUGAAACUGACUGGGAAUCAGUCUUUUUUAUUGUUAAUGACCUGGAUGACCAAGAACUAAGAAUUUUCACCAGCAAACAUUCUGGCUCUUUGCAAAGAAGAGAUGAGAUAAUCUGACUAAACAAUCAGUAAGAAAGUCCAAAAUACCCACUUUAUCUUCAAGAAGAUUAGAGAAGACAAGAACCCAGUCCUGCCAAACAUACAGCGGGUAAAACAAGUAUUGAACACAUCACCAUUUUUCUCAGUGUGGCAGUAUGCCCUGUAGGCUUUGAAUGCACCACACAAUUGCCUGCAUCUAAUUGGUUGUGGUGCUGGCUGCCUGUAUAUAAAGGGCCCUCCCUCUACCUGUGUGACAUGUUUGCCUCCCGGUUCAGACUACUGUGAUUGUGGGUGCUGCACGCUAGUCCCAGGCUAGUGGGUGUAUGAAGGGUGCGUUUAACGACCCUUGAUCCUUUUUAUGGCUACCAGAAUGAGUCUACCUGAUUCGUCCUCCUUUAGAGGAGCUACACUUUAGGCUCAGUGGUGAGUGCAAUGUUUGUCUUAUCAGUUUCUCAAUUACACAAAUUUAAUUUCUUAAUGUUUGUUCUGUACCAGAUGCUGCUGUUUGUCCUUUGCCGGUGUUCUGCUGGAGGCCCUAUUUGUUCACUUCCGGUUUUCUAUCUAUGCCGUGUGGUUCUUUGGCCGGCUUCUAGUGAUGGGCAAAUGAGGCUUUUCUGAAGCACUGAAGCUUGCUUUGAAAAAGGGUUCAUUACUCGAAGCUUUCCAACACAGUUCUCUUUGGCUCCACCCUGUUAGGCUGUUACCU